rnacentral:rRNA from 1 species
UGCUGUGAAAGNCCGGGGCUUAACUCCGUGUAUUGCAGUGGGUACGGGCAGACUAGAGUGCAGUAGGGGAGACUGGAAUUCNUGGUGUAGCGGUGGAAUGCGCAGAUAUCAGGAGGAACACCGAUGGCGAAGGCAGGUCUCUGGGCUGUAACUGACGCUGAGAAGCGAAAGCAUGGGGAGCGAACAGGAUUAGAUACCCUGGUAGUCCAUGCCGUAAACGUUGGGCACUAGGUGUGGGGGACAUUCCACGUUUUCCGCGCCGUAGCUAACGCAUUAAGUGCCCCGCCUGGGGAGUACGGCCGCAAGGCUAAAACUCAAAGAAAUUGACGGGGGCCCGCACAAGCGGCGGAGCAUGCGGAUUAAUUCGAUGCAACGCGAAGAACCUUACCAAGGCUUGACAUAUACUGGACCGCAUCAGAGAUGGUGUUUCCCUUCGGGGCUGGUAUACAGGUGGUGCAUGGUUGUCGUCAGCUCGUGUCGUGAGAUGUUGGGUUAAGNCCCGCAACGAGCGCAACCCUCGUUCUAUGUUGCCAGCACGUUAUGGUGGGGACUCAUAGGAGACUGCCGGGGUCAACUCGGAGGAAGGUGGGGAUGACGUCAAAUCAUCAUGCCCCUUAUGUCUUGGGCUUCACGCAUGCUACAAUGGCCGGUACAGAGGGUUGCGAUACUGUGAGGUGGAGCUAAUCCCUAAAAGCCGGUCUCAGUUCGGAUUGGGGUCUGCAACUCGACCCCAUGAAGUCGGAGUCGCUAGUAAUCGCAGACCAGCAACGCUGCGGUGAAUACGUUCCCGGGCCUUGU